rnacentral:miRNA from 1 species
GAGUAUAUAUAAUACUUUUUUGUAGAAACAUCACGUAAAUUUAUUACUGCAAAGCUUUCGAUCUGUAAGCCCAGAUCGUCAUCAGUGCUAAUAUGAUUAGCACUGAUGAAGAUCCGGGCUUACGGAUCGAAAGCUUAGUUGCAGUAAUAAAUUUACGUGGUAUUUCCACAAACAAAACUAUUAUAUGUUUUA